AUCAUCCAUGUGGCUGGCCCAGCCCCCCAGGCACAGAGGGCAGCAGGAGCCCUGGGCAGAUGCAGUUACCCUCUGUAGGGGGGAUCUGUAGGUCUGGGAUCUGGAAGCUGCAGCUAGCCUGGCUGGGGCCGGCGCUGGGCAGGAGCCGGAGCUCUGGUCUAGGCUGGAGGUGGAGGGAGGAAGUGCCCAGCAUGGUGAUGACAUCACAGCCCAGCCCUUGAAAGAUGAUCUGUUCCCACUGCCACUCCAGCUCAGCUCCGGAGGCUCCUCGGAGGACUGGGGCCCUCGGGCAGCCCCGCUGGACCAGGGAGCUACGAAGUGCCCGCGUUUGUGCUCCGGACAAGAGAUUGCAAGUAAAUGCAUAAAAUGUUCAGUUCAAGAAGCUGGAUGGACAAAAAAAGUAGAAGAAAGAAGAAAAGAAAGAAAGAAAAAGAAGUAGAAGAAAGAAUAAUGAUGACAAAACAAAAUGAUUAAUUAGAAAGGAAACAAACGUUAAUAUCAGUAUUCCCUCUAAGGAAAAACCAAAGCCUGGCUCUUUGAAAAUAGCGAAGGGGGAGGAAAUAUUAGGAAGCGAUCUGUGCCAUGCGGAGAAUUAGGAUAAGUUGCUGAGACAGGAAGUGAUAAGCAGACACUUUGCGGUCAAGAGUGGCCUGCAGCACAGUUGGGGCCCAGCAUCCCAGCCUUUCCAGGCUGUGGGAAGGACGAUCUGCCUGGUUGGGGGUUUCUGUUGGACCCGUGAAGGCCUUCUUUCCACACUGGCCUCCUGUUCCCUGGGAGGGUCCCAUGUCCCUGAAGGUAGGAGAGCAGAGCUCAAAGCCCUGCCCCCCGCUGGGCCUGGGAUCCCAUCAUCUCUGCUUGAACCUUUUAUACCUAAGUCUCAGUCAGAGCCCACGAACCAACAGGCUCACAGAUGUGCUAAGUAUUUAGCCACCAGCAUUUCUUACAAGAGUCAAUAAUUUUAAAAUGGGAUAUUUCACAUAAAAAUUCAGCUUCCCAGCUUCUCUAGGAAUGCAGACGGCUCUGGCAAGGCUGAAAAUUAAUGCCCCACCUGGCCACACACAGCUCUUUAGGUCAGACCUUGGCCGUCAGAGUGCCCACCCCUCCCCCAGCGUCAGCAUCUGCUCUCACCUCCAGCACCCCACUUUAAUGGGCCCCUGUGGGCAUUGGAAUUUGAGGCCCUGCUUCACACGUUGAGAGGUGCAGACUGGUGAAGGCCACUGAGGCAGAGCUGAGCUGGUUACGACUGGGAGAAAGAACUUUCCGAGCAGAUUUACAAGGGCAGCCUCUCCCCCAAACAGCCCCACGUAAGGGAGGGCAAAGACAGCCCCUCCCCACGCCAGCCUCUGGGGGCUGAGCUCUAAAAUGGGCCUGCGAUGGUGCCGCAGAGUGCCUUAGACACGGAGCAUUUCCCAGAUCUAAAGCAGGAACACCCAGCCGUGGAGUUGAGACCUUAUUGGAGGGCUUGACUCUUCCAAACAGAGAGGGGGAAAAGCUGGUGUGAAACUGAGGAAAAUCUGAACUACCCAGGAUCCUAAGCACACGAUGCUCUCCAAUGCCUCUGAGCCUUUGUUCAUGCUGUUCCCGUGCCUCUGAUGCUUUUCCACACCUUCCUCAAGCUUCUUCUCCUACUCAGCCUUUGAGAUGAAGGGGUCCCUCCUUCCAGGAAGCCUUCUACACCCCUUCCCAGAAGCUAGGUCUCUCCUUGGUGCCCCGCAACUGCCUUUGGCCCCUCAGGGACAGCACUAGCCAUGCUGUGUUGGCAUCAUCUGUGUGUUUGCCUCUCCUGCAGCCUGUGAGCCCCCUCAAAGGCCAGGGCCUCAUCUUACCCCUCUGUCCAUUCCCAGCCUGGUCCCCAGGGGACCUGCAGCGCCCUCCUGGCCGUUAGGGCCUGUACCCUGGUAGGCUCAGCAGGCCUCCUGGGAGGUCGGACUCUGCAGUGACAAUCAGACGCCAGGGCCGGUGAGCAAUGGCAUUCCCUGAGUGUGGCCUCUGGCCUGGAGGGAGCAGGGAUUCCGAGGAGGUCUCUCUGUCACUGCAGACUAACAGUCGGGUGGCAGGUUUCCAGGCUUCCUUUCCAUGGGUCUUGCCACGCCCACAUGUCCUAAAGGCUCUGGGGCACAGGUGAGGCUUCUGAGCCCACCAGCUCUGAGCCCGGGUACCUUCCCCAAGGGAAUGGGCUCCGACCCCAGGGGGUCCCAUGGCAGCCACUGGUAGGCCGGCACCACUCUGUAAAGUCCCUUCUUCUGGACCCUGAGUGCCAGCUUCUCCGAAGGUGGCCUCCAGCCAGUUCCAGUCCCUGGGCAGAGGCCGUGGUGGAGGACACCGGCCUCAUUGUCCAACAGCCCAGCAUUCUGAUCGAGGCUUGGCCAACGGCUUGCUGAGUAACACAGGGCAGGUCGCCGACCGGCCUGAGCCCCUCCCUUCCCACCUGCAUCAGGGAAUCAAGACCACCGUGCACAGCCUUUGCGCAGCCGACACGGCAGGACCGUGUGUGAAAGUGGCCACGCCGCGCAGGGCCCGCUCAUUCCCUCCUCUCUGAACCACUCGGGAGAGACUCUCUGGGCUCCCAGCUCGGAGGCUUCUGCCCACGAGGAGUGCGGAGCCUGUGGGAGAGACAGGCGAGGGCCUGGGAGACUCGGACUCAGCACCCUGCUCCUGUGACCCCAGGGCCCAGCCCAGAGGACCCGGGACAGUCACGCCCUCUGCUUGUCCUGGGCCUCCUGAAUCCAGAGCCAGAUGUCAUGAUCUCCACCUUCCCCUUCCUGGGCCUCUGCGUGCCAGCCUGCCACGCACACUCACACGUCACACACUCACACACACACACACACACCCCGCACGCUCAC